GUUUGCGGUGACCCUGUCCGGACAAAACCCCACAGCGUUUGUUGCAGUGCAGUGCGCAGUAUGUAGCUACGUAGGACGACAAUGGUGCACUAUCAUAAGGAAGGAGAUGCAAAGAGAUCCCAAGCCAAGCAGGAAGAGAAAGCAGUACAGUUUUAGAUGGAGAAAGACAAAGCACACCUACAUACUGUAGAGCAGAAAGAGAGAAGUGAUAAGGUAAGUUGUAUUGUCAUCACACAAACCAUGACAUUGGAAUAGUGGCAGGUGUUAUUGUGGAACAUUUCACAUAUGGCUAACUGAAUUGCAGUCCAUACAAGCAUUUCCAGAAAGCACUUUUUCAACGGAACCUUUUUAAGUGCUUGUUGUCAUUAGUGCUAGAAGCAAGGACAAUAAAUAGAAAGUGACACAGAGAC